AAAGCGGAUAGUGAAAUCUGGCGGCUCAACCGUACAGGCUAUUAUUCAAACUGGCAAACUCGAGAGUGGUAGAGGUCACUGGAAUUUCUUGUGUAGGAGUGAAAUCCGUAGAUAUAAGAAGGAACACCGAUGGCGUAGGCAGGUGACUGGACCAUUUCUGACGCUAAGGCACGAAAGCGUGGGGAGCGAACCGGAUUAGAUACCCGGGUAGUCCACGCCGUAAACGAUGGAUACUA
rnacentral:rRNA from 1 species